rnacentral:rRNA from 1 species
AACGAACGCUGGCGGCAGGCCUAACACAUGCAAGUCGAGCGCGACCUUCGGGUUGAGCGGCGGACGGGUUAGUAACGCGUGGGAAUAUACCCAGAUCUACGGAAUAGCCUUUGGAAACGAAGAGUAAUACCGUAUACGCCCUUCGGGGGAAAGAUUUAUCGGAUUUGGAUUAGCCCGCGUUAGAUUAGAUAGUUGGUGGGGUAACGGCCUACCAAGUCUACGAUCUAUAGCUGGUUUUAGAGGAUGAUCAGCAACACUGGGACUGAGACACGGCCCAGACUCCUACGGGAGGCAGCAGUGGGGAAUCUUGGACAAUGGGCGCAAGCCUGAUCCAGCCAUGCCGCGUGAGUGAUGAAGGCCUUAGGGUCGUAAAGCUCUUUCGCCAGAGAUGAUAAUGACAGUAUCUGGUAAAGAAACCCCGGCUAACUCCG